CAGGGAAUAUUGCGCAAUGGGCGAACGCCUGACGCAGCAACGCCGCGUGGGGGAUGAAGGCUUUCGGGUCGUAAACCCCUUUCAGCAGGGACGAUAAUGACGCUACCUGCAGAAGAAGGACCGGCCAACUACGUGCCAGCAGCCGCGGUAAUACGUAGGGUCCAAGCGUUGUCCGGAUUUAUUGGGCGUAAAGAGCUCGUAGGCGGUUCGGUAAGUCGGAUGUGAAAACUCUGGGCUCAACCCAGAGACGCCAUCCGAUACUGCUGUGACUUGAGUUUGGUAGGGGAACUCGGAAUUCCUGGUGUAGCGGUGAAAUGCGCAGAUAUCAGGAGGAACACCGAUGGCGAAGGCAGAGUUCUGGGCCAAUACUGACGCUGAGGAGCGAAAGCGUGGGGAGCAAA
rnacentral:rRNA from 1 species